rnacentral:rRNA from 1 species
UACAGAGGGUGCGAGCGUUGUUCGGAAUUAUUGGGCGUAAAGGGCGCGUAGGCGGUGCGGUAAGUCACCUGUGAAAUCUCCUGGCUCAACUGGGAGCUUGCAGGCGAAACUGCCGUGCUGGAGUGUGGGAGAGGUGCGUGGAAUUCCCGGUGUAGCGGUGAAAUGCGUAGAUAUCGGAAGGAACAUCAGUGGCGAAAGCGACUUCCUGGACCAAUACUGACGCUCAUGUGCGAAAGCGUGGGGAGCAAACAGGAUUAGAAACCCUGAGU